rnacentral:tRNA from 1 species
GCUGAUAGGGCUGCUGAGCAGGUCACUGUGAUAUAGUGGUUGUAAGAUUUUAAUCUUCGUUAGUA